ACCAUGGUAGGCCACUAUAUAUAUCGAAGUUGCAUAGUUAAAAAUUUGUUGAUGCGUUUGGGGCUAAGGCCGGCCGCCGUCGGUGUCCGAAUCUCGUCCUUCUGCGGCGAUGCGUCCUGGCUUUUAAUAAUAAAUCGUGCCCUCCAGCUGUUACUUUUGUUGAACGUAGUGCUCAAAAAGCCUACGGUCUGUACAUAGCACCAUAACAAAUAGGAUUGAUUUAAUGACGUUCGCUUCGGGAUCGGAGAAUGAUUCAUACUUACACGGGGGGGCUUAAUUUUGAGACAAGAUAUGAAUUCUUGGAUUUCAAAAGGAACAACCUCGAAGAUUUGCCAAGAUGUUUUCAUUAAUCAAGAACGAAAGUUGGGGGCUCGAAGACGAUCAGAUACCGUCCUAGUCUCAACCAUAAACGAUGCCGACCAGGGAUCGGCGGAUGUUGCAAAACGGACUCCGCCGGGCACCUUAUGAGAAAUCAAAGUCUUUGGGUCAAGGGGGAGUAUCCGCAAGGCUGAACUUAAAGGAAUUGAAGGCCGGCACCACCAGGAGUGGAGCCUGCGGCUUAAUUUGACUCAACGGGGGAAACCCCGCAAAAUCCACAUAGUAAGCGAAGACGACUGAGAACUUUCGAAUCUAUGGGCCGUGGUGCAUGUGCGAGGUAUUGGUGGAGCGAUUUGUCUGUUAAUUCCGUUUGCGCGAGACCUCAGCCUGCUAUGAAGAGGCGUGCGGAGGUAUCCGUCGCGCCAGCUUCAGGGAGGGAACUGACCCACACGCCGAUAAAGUUUUCUCGCAAUAACAGGUCUGCCCCAAUCGCUUGUUCUGGGCGCACGCGCCUACUGAUGUAUCAACGAGCAUAGCCCUUGCCGACUGGCCCGGGUAAUCUUUGAAAUUUCAUCGUGAUGGGGGAAAUCAUUGCUUUGUUGGUCUUCAACGGAACAAUUGGUAAGCGUCCGUCAUCAGCCUCGGUGACUGUCCCUGCCCUUUGGACACCGCCCCGUCGCUCCUGCAAUUGAUGAUCUUGCGAGGUGGGGAUCGCGGCGUCGUGGGCGGUUCGCUGCCGCGACGUCGAGAAGUCCACUGAACCUUAUCAACGGGUCUCGGAGAAGUCGUACCAAGGUUUAUGUUGCAGAUUGCGGAAGGAUCAUUG
rnacentral:ncRNA from 1 species